rnacentral:rRNA from 1 species
UACAGAGGUGGCAAGCGUUGUUCGGAAUUACUGGGCGUAAAGGGCGCGUAGGCGGCCAUCUAAGUCAGACGUGAAAUCCCCCGGCUUAACCUGGGAACUGCGUCUGAUACUGGACGGCUCGAGUUUGGGAGAGGGAUGCAGAAUUCCAGGUGUAGCGGUGAAAUGCGUAGAUAUCUGGAGGAACACCGGUGGCGAAGGCGGCAUCCUGGACCACGACUGACGCUGAGGAGCGAAAGCCAGGGGAGCAAACGGG